rnacentral:rRNA from 1 species
UUGAACGCUGGCGGCAGGCCUCACACAUGCAAGUCGCGCGGAUGAAGGGAGCUUGCUCCUGGAUUCAGCGGCGGACGGGUGAGUAAUGCCUAGGAAUCUGCCUGGUAGUGGGGGAUAACGUCCGGAAACGGGCGCUAAUACCGCAUACGUCCUGAGGGAGAAAGUGGGGGAUCUUCGGACCUCACGCUAUCAGAUGAGCCUAGGUCGGAUUAGCUAGUUGGUGGGGUAAAGGCCUACCAAGGCGACGAUCCGUAACUGGUCUGAGAGGAUGAUCAGUCACACUGGAACUGAGACGCGGUCCAGACUCCUACGGGAGGCAGCAGUGGGGAAUAUUGGACAAUGGGCGAAAGCCUGAUCCAGCCAUGCCGCGUGUGUGAAGAAGGUCUUCGGAUUGUAAAGCACUUUAAGUUGGGAGGAAGGGCAGUAAGUUAAUACCUUGCUGUUUUGACGUUACCAACAGAAUAAGCACCGGCUAACUUCGUG